GUGAGGAAUUUUCCGCAAUGGGCGAAAGCCUGACGGAGCAAUGCCGCGUGAAGGAUGAAGGCCUAUGGGUUGUAAACUUCUUUUCUCAGAAAAGAAUUAUGACGGUAUCUGAGGAAUAAGCAUCGGCUAACUCUGUGCCAGCAGCCGCGGUAAGACAGAGGAUGCAAGCGUUAUCCGGAAUGAUUGGGCGUAAAGCGUCUGUAGGUUGUUUAAAAAGUAUUCUGUCAAAGAUUAGGGCUUAACCCUAGAUAGGCAGAAUAAACUUUUAAGCUAGAGUUUGGUAGAGGCAGAGGGAAUUCCCGGUGGAGCGGUGAAAUGCGUAGAUAUCGGGAGGAACACCAAAGGCGAAGGCACUCUGCUGGGCCAAUACUAACACUGAGAGACGAAAGCCAGGGGAGCAAAUGGGAUUAGAUACCCCGGUAGUCC
rnacentral:rRNA from 1 species